CGGGGCUGAGGGGGGACGGGCGUCCAGCUCGCGCGCCUCGCUCGCCCACUCGCCAGAACCCAGCCAAAUGCUCUCAGCCCAGCCCCGGCAGGGCAGGCUCGCUUUUCAUCAACCUCAUUUCAGAAUCACCCCGUUCAUUGAUACUCAUCAUCCAACCCCGGCAGACAUCCCAUCCCCUGCUCGGCCUCCCCCUAUCUGGAGGUGCAAAGUUUCUUACUAGAAACCAGAGAGAUCAAAUAUUGGGAAAACCUCGCUUGCAGAGAAGAUUGAUGCUGGCUUUGGUUCACAAAUACAGCCUGCGCCAUAGGAGUGAGCAGAGUCACUGAGAACAAGCCCCAAGGACCCCUCGGCUGCCUAUCUGGAGAAAGGAUGUGUCCUGUCAAUAAGAGAAAGGAGGCAGUCAUCUCAGAAGCCUGAUCCAAACCUACUUUCUACCUACUCAGAAGCUGCUGCUUAAUUGGGUGGACCAUGUACCUGUGAUUCCAGAACUCUGGAGGUUGAGGCAGGAGGUAGCACCAGCUUGAGCUCCAUCGUGAGUCUGAGAUCAGUCUGCUUAUGAAGAGAAACCAUGUCUGAAAAGAAUGAAGAGGGCUGGAGCAAUGGCUCUAAGUUACAAGAGUUAGGUUACGAGAGUUCAGUUCCCAGCACUUGCAUGGCAGCUCACAACUGGUUCCCCCAGCUCCAGUGGAUCUGACGCCCACUUCUGCUGCACAUCCAUAGGGGUGGUGGGGAUAACAUAAAUUUUAAAAAGUAAAAAUUGAAUGGAAGGAAGGAAUACAUGAGGGUCACUCCAGAUUCCCCACCCCACCAGUUUCACUCCCUGGAUUACCUUUGCCAUUGGUGAUAAUUCUUGUAUUGCUUUGAAAGGGAAGGGAGAAGCACCAUGCAGCAUGGAAUGACAGAGCUCAGGUUCUAUGACUGACUUUCUGAGUUCAAAGCCCAGUGUCACCAUUUCAAAGCUGUAUGACCUUCAGCAAGCUAACUUCACAUCUGAGAAUGGAACUCCCACUUCAUUGGCACAUUUGGAGCAUGCACCUUGUGCAGUUUCCACUUGAUAUUCACAUCAAUGACAGAUAUGUUCCUUUAUUCCACCAUUAAAUAGGAUUGAUAGUGCCCCAUCCUUUUGGUUUGGCUGUUUAGACCAUGGGGCUAUUUGCUUCAUUCAGUUUUCAGCAUGCUCUUACCCACACCAAAGGAUUUGUUUGCCACCUUGAGUCUCAGCUCUUUGCCUUGUUCUUUCUGCAGAUA